AUGGCGGGUUGCCUUGGUAACAGCAGGCUGCGUCAGCAAUGGGAGAGUACCUCAGUAGGGGCAGAACGUCUUGGUAAUGGCAGACGCCCCCUCCCCCAUCGAGCUGCACCAUACUGGAUUCCGUUGUGCCCACCAAAAAACUCUCAACCCCGAGCAUUUCAAAUCGCCUUUUUGUCUGUCCCUGUGGAGGUGGGACUCGUCAAGCCUGAUCACCCACGGAGUACAUGCCUGGUCCCAGUAAAUCCCAGACCAAAGGUUUAGUAAUCUUUCAUUCCAUCAACUGACUGCUUUUUUGGAUGGUGGGCAUUCUCUGGUGCAUUUGUACAAAAGACUUUACCAUGGAAACCCAUGCUUGACCUUUCAAUAUCAUCAUGACAUUUUUCAUCUUGGCAUAAUAUGGCUGCUGUAUUCUCAUCCUUCAAUAAAAAAGUCUGUCAUUUCCACUACAAAGUCAAAGAGAGAACACUUGAAGUUUCAAUUACUUUGUUAAAGUUCACUUAUCAAGUACUCUGAAAAUGUCAACUAUUGUUCUGCUCUUUUGGCACUUAAAUGUACAACUUCUUAUCUGAACCUAAAAAAACAAGACAGAAUUCUAAAUUUCUAUGCACAAGAUAAUGUAAAAACCACAUUGAAUGCAGCUGAAAUGGUACUUCAAGGUAAAUUUUUAGCGUCCUAAAAUUAAACACUUAAUAACCUUAAGAAAUCAGGAAAAGACUUACAGAAUAAAUCCAAAGACAAUAAAAGACUGGAAAUUCUAGAAUUAAGAGCAAAAACUAAGGAAAUAAGUAAAACAACUAUAGAGAAUCACUAUAACUGAACUCAGCAAGAGUGACUGAGCUAAAAAAAAAAAAAGGCACAAAAAAAAACCACUAUGAACAAUGAUAAAAGCCCACUUCAAACAGAGAUUUUAAUAAGAACAUGGAUUGGUAUGCUAACUUCUGCUUCAAGCCAAACCAGAGUCACAGGGACCAGGGCAAAAACAUGAAACAACAGUUUUCGGAUGUUAGACUGGACCAUGAUCUGUGAAACAGAAGCAGCAAAUUAGCCAACUCUAUGACUGCUCCAGUUCUUACUGCUUAGAGUUUCAAGACUGCAGGGCAAGGAAGGGAAAUCCAGCUAUAGCCAGGAAGUAUCUGAGUUGGGGAGAAAGAGUUGGGAGCCAGGGAGGACAAAAAUAGAGUUCACAAGGUAGAGUACCAAAUGUGACAAAACUACACAGAUUGCUCCAGAUUAUCUGCAGAGGAUUCCCCUGGAGUCUUCAGCUGAAUUCUGUGACCACAUGGGACUACUACCCAAGGCCUUCUAAAGAAUCACCUGAAAGAACAAGGGGAAACCAUUUUUGGAGCUCACAAUGGUCAGAAAUACUUGAAGUUCCACCAGCCAAACUGAAAAAUCCCCUAUAAUUCAUAGGGUGUCAGAGUACUUGGAAUGGUACUGACUCAGCAGUAAAAUAAAUGUUGUUCUGUAUCUGCUUUAAACUUCAAAAGCAAGCCUAUAAAGGAUCACAUUUUUUCCCCUAGUAAUUUGUGUUAAGAAAAAGAAAUAUGGGAAAUUCAAUAUCCAAACAUGCAAAUGCAUGCAAAUGAAAAAUACAAAUAAUAAAAAAAAUCAAUAAACAGAAACAGACUAAGAAAUGACAGCAAGGCCAUUCUAACAGCUGUUAUCAUUACACUUGCUGUGUGCAAACCAGCAGAGGAAAACUUGAGUAUGAUUUUUAAAAAAAUGGAAGAUAUAAGAGAUCCAAAUUGAAUUUUUAACGAUAAAAUACAUAACUUCUGAUAUAAAAAAUACACUAUCAGAAUUAAGAAAUUAGACACAACAGAAGAUUAGUGAACUUGAAGUUGAAGCAAUGAAAACUAUAUAAAAUGAAAAAUAACCAAAAAUGAGCAACGGAUUAAUAAACUGUGUGAUUAUUUCAAGCAGCCUAAUAUAAGUGGAAUUGGCAUUGAAAAAAUGUUCAAAUAAUUGCUAUGUUUCCAAAUUUGAUGAAAACUAUAAAUCCAUGGAUCCUAGGGUGCUCAGCUAAGUCCAAGAACAAGGACUGGUUUCUUUGGGGUGUAAAAUAUGCAUUUAAAACUUUGUGUUACUCUCAUGUAAUUUAAAAAACAUACUGUAGCACUGCACUCCCUGCUGAGCACUUGAAAUAUGACUGGUGCAACUGAGAAGGUGAGCUUUUGCUUAUGGUGAUGGUAGCACAUCUCUAUGAAUUUAUUAGAAAAUCAUAUUUUUAUUGCCCAAAGAAGAAACUUUGUACCCAGUCACCUACCAUUUCCAAUUCUCCCCAGUCCUAGAUAUUAAUUUAUUUCUGUUUCUAUAGAUUUGCCUAUUCUGAACAUUUCACAUAUGGAAUCUGGCUUCUUUUACUUAGCCUAAUGUUUUCAGUAUUCACCCAUGUUGUACCACAUAACAGUAUUUCAUUUUAUUACUGAGUAAUAUCCCAUAUUAUGAAUAUAAACUUUUAUUUAUCCAUUGGCCAAUUAACAUUUGUUUGUGCAUUUUGACUAUCAUGAAUUGAUCCCUUUAUUAAAUGACUCUCUUUAUCUCCAGCAAUAAAUAUUCCUUGCUCUGAAAUGUACUUUGAUAUUAAUAUGGCCACUCCAACUUACUUUUGAUUUGUGAUAGCAUGGUAUAUCUUAUUUCCGUCCUUUUACUUUUCACCAAUUUGCUUCUUGAAAACAUUUUCUUAGAGGCAAAAUAUGGCCUUAGUUUUUUUAUUAAAACUGAGGUUUUAUUAACCUCAGCACUUAAUGGCAUGCUUAAAUUACUAGUAAUUACUGUGAUUAUUGAUAUCACUGAGUUUGAUCUAUCUUGCUAUUUGUUCAACCAUUUGUUUUUUCUCUUUUUUUGUCUAGUUUUGGAUUAGCUAUUUUUCAUAAUUCUUUUUUUUUUUUUUUUUAAUUUUUUAUUGGAUUAUAGGUUUUGGGGUACAUGAGCAGAGCAUGCAAGACAGUUGCGUAGGUACACACAUGGCAGUGUGCUUUGCUUUUCUUCUCCCCUUCACCCACAUUUGGCAUUUCUCCCCAGGCUAUCCCUCC
ensembl:lncRNA